GGGCCGUGGACUGCAUAGAAGAGAGAAUGCCGGCAUAAGUAGCGAGAGGGAAGUGAGAAUCUUCCCCGUCGAAUGCCUAAGGUUUCCUGGGGAAGGUUUGUCCCCCCAGGGUAAGUCGGGACCUAAGCCGAGGCCGAAAGGCGUAGGUGAUGGACAGCAGGUAGAUAUUCCUGCACCACCGAGCGACGUUUAAAUGAGGCAAUGACACAGUAGGAUAGUCAAUCCGCGGAGUUGGAUUUCUGCGGCCAAAUCGUGAGGCUUGCACGUAGUGAAGUACGCGUGCUUUAAGGCUGGGCGAUGAUGGGGAGUGAAAAUUAGUAACGAAGUUGAUGAAUUCACACUGGCGAGAAAAGUUGCUAAAUAUGUUGUUAGGUGCCCGUACCGCAUACCGACACAGGUGGGCGAGGAGAAAAUCCUAAGACGGACGGGAUAACCCUUGUUAAGGAACUCUGCAAAAUGACCCCGUAACUUCGGAAGAAGGGGAGCCUACGAAAGUAGGCCGCAGUGAAGAGGCCCAAGCAACUGUUUACCAAAAACACAGGUCUCUGCAAAAUCGUAAGAUGAUGUAUAGGGGCUGACGCCUGCCCAGUGCUGGAAGGUUAAGGGGAUGUGUUAGCGCAAGCGAAGCACGGAACUUAAGCCCCAGUGAACGGCGGCCGUAACUAUAACGGUCCUAAGGUAGCGAAAUUCCUUGUCAGGUAAGUUCUGACCCGCACGAAUGGCGUAAUGAUUUGGGCGCUGUCUCAACAGGGGACCCGGCGAAAUUGUAUUAUACGUGAAGAUGCGUAUUACCCGCGACUGGACGGAAAGACCCCGUAGAGCUUUACUGUAGCUUGGUAUUGAAGUUCGGUGAUUUAUGUACAGGAUAGGUGGGAGACUUGGAAACAGGGGCGUCAGCUUCUGCGGAGUCACCCUUGGGAUACCACCCUUGAAUCAUUGGACCUCUAACACUAGACCGUAAUCCGGCUGGUGGACAGUGCCAGGUGGGCAGUUUGACUGGGGCGGUCGCCUCCCAAAAUGUAACGGAGGCGUUCUAAGGUUCCCUCAGGAUGGUUGGAAAUCAUCCAAAGAGCGUAAAGGUAGAAGGGAGCUUAACUGCGAGACAGACAUGUCGAGCAGAUACGAAAGUAGGACUUAGUGACCCGGCGGUAGAGUAUGGAAUUGCCGUCGAUUAACGGAUAAAAGUUACCUCGGGGAUAACAGGCUGAUCUCCCCCAAGAGUUCACAUCGACGGGGAGGUUUGGCACCUCGAUGUCGGCUCG
rnacentral:rRNA from 1 species